UCCCCUUGGGUGCAAACAAUCUCUAGGAGCCAUCGGACUGGGGGAUUUUCCCCUUGAAUUUACCCAAGGUGCACUUGCGAGAAACUCCUUGCCGAGGGCUUGUCCACCCCCGGGAUUAGUCAAGACGUUGUUUCUGGACACCCGGUGCUAAUAAAAAAAAAUGCCUAUAGUCAUCCCCUCUCCAUCACACCGCAAAGAAAGU